AUAGAAACCCUUAAGACUAAAACCGUAUGAGAUCUAAAACCAAAAAAUAACCACGGACUAUGGGCCGCGCAUGGCAGUCAAUACCUCAGGAAAGAUGUCAACGCCUCGUAGACUCCAAGAGAAAUCGUUAUGCAGUAGUGAUUAAAAACAA